rnacentral:rRNA from 1 species
AGAUUGAACGCUGGCGGCAUGCCUAGCACAUGCAAGUCAAACGGGAGUAGCAAUACUCUAGUGGCGGACGGGUGAGGAAUACGUAGGAAUUUGCCCUUAAGUGGGGGAUAACCCGGGGAAACCCGGAUUAAUACCGCAUGACCUCGAAAGAGCAAAGUGGGGGAUCGCAAGACCUCACGCUUUUGGAGAAGCCUACGUCGGAUUAGCUAGUUGGUGAGGUAAUGGCUCACCAAGGCGACGAUCCGUAACUGGUUUGAGAGGAUGAUCAGUCACACCGGAACUGAGACACGGUCCGGACUCCUACGGGAGGCAGCAGUGGGGAAUAUUGGACAAUGGGCGCAAGCCUGAUCCAGCAAUGCCGCGUGUGUGAAGAAGGGACCUUCGGGUUCGGUUAAAGACGA